rnacentral:rRNA from 1 species
AUGAACGCUGGCGGCGUGCCUAAUCCCUGCAAGUCGCGCGAACAGACGAGGAGCUUGCUCCUCUGACGUUAGCGGCGGACGGGUGAGUAACACGUGGAUAACCUACCUAUAAGACUGGGAUAACUUCGGGAAACCGGAGCUAAUACCGGAUAAUAUAUUGAACCGCAUGGUUCAAUAGUGAAAGACGGUUUUGCUGUCACUUAUAGAUGGAUCCGCGCCGCAUUAGCUAGUUGGUAAAGUAACGGCUUACCAAGGCGACGAUGCGUAGCCGACCUGAGAGGGUGAUCGGCCACACUGGAACUGAGACGAGGGCCAGACUACUACGGGACGCAGCAGUAGGGAAUCUUACGCAAUGGGCGAAAGCCUGACGGAGCAACGCCGCGUGAGUGAUGAAGGUCUUCGGCUCGUAAAACUCUGUUAUUAGGGAAGAACAAAUGUGUAAGUAACUAUGCACGUCUUGACGGUACCUAAUCAGAAAGCCAGGGCUAACUACGUG